GACGAACGCUGGCGGCGUGCUUAACACAUGCAAGUCGAACGGUAAGGCCCUUCGGGGUACACGAGUGGCGAACGGGUGAGUAACACGUGGGUGAUCUGCCCUGCACUUCGGGAUAAGCCUGGGAAACUGGGUCUAAUACCGGAUAGGACCACUGCCUGCAUGGGUGGUGGUGGAAAGCUUUUGCGGUGUGGGAUGGGCCCGCGGCCUAUCAGCUUGUUGGUGGGGUGAUGGCCUACCAAGGCGACGACGGGUAGCCGGCCUGGGAGGGUGACCGGCCACACUGGGACUGAGAUACGGCCCAGACUCCUACGGGAGGCAGCAGUGGGGAAUAUUGCACAAUGGGCGCAAGCCUGAUGCAGCGACGCCGCGUGAGGGAUAACGGCCUUCGGGUUGUAAACCUCUUUCAGCACCGACGAAGCGCAAGUGACGGUAGGUGCAGAAGAAGGACCGGCCAACUACGUGCCAGCAGCCGCCGUAA
rnacentral:rRNA from 1 species